rnacentral:sRNA from 1 species
AAAGAAGAAAGAAAAAAAGAGAG